CGGACAGGGGGGUUCCUGCUCACCGGCAGGGCCUGUCCAGAGGUUGCGCGAAGGCGUGGCCAGUGGUUGUCGCUCGGGGGUGAUCGCCG
rnacentral:sRNA from 1 species